rfam:Salmo salar isolate Sally breed double haploid chromosome ssa01, whole genome shotgun sequence.
CCCCCUGUAGCUCAGUUGGUAGAGCAUGGUGUUUGCAACGCCAGGGUUGUGGGUUCGAUUCCCACGGGGGGGC